rnacentral:tRNA from 1 species
GCGGCUAUGGUGGAACUGGCAGACACGCAGCGUUGAGGUCGCUGUGCUCGUAAGGGCAUGGAGGUUCAAGUCCUCUUAGCCGCACCA